rfam:Triticum aestivum genome assembly, contig: Triticum_aestivum_CS42_TGACv1_scaffold_272268_3DS
AGGCUCUUACCAUAAAAAUUGCUGCAUGUGCAGCAGCACUGACUAUUAGAAAUCCGCCAAUCCACAUGUGGUGUGUGAACAGGCUCGCGUCUGAUUAGCUAGUUGGUGAGGUAAUAGCUUACCAAGGCGAUGAUCAGUAGCUGGUCCAAGAGGAUGAUCAGCCACACUGGGACUGAGACACGGCCCAGACUCCUACGGGAGGCAGCAGUGGGGAAUUUUCCGCAAUGGGCGAAAGCCUGACGGAUCCAU